AUGAACGCUGGCGGCGUGCUUAACACAUGCAAGUCGAACGGUGAAGCAGAGCUUGCUCUGUGGAUCAGUGGCGAACGGGUGAGUAACACGUGAGCAAUCUGCCCCUGACUCUGGGAUAAGCGCUGGAAACGGCGUCUAAUACUGGAUACGAGCUGCGACCGCAUGGUCAGUAGCUGGAAAGAUUUUUUGGUCAGGGAUGAGCUCGCGGCCUAUCAGCUUGUUGGUGAGGUAAUGGCUCACCAAGGCGUCGACGGGUAGCCGGCCUGAGAGGGUGACCGGCCACACUGGGACUGAGACACGGCCCAGACUCCUACGGGAGGCAGCAGUGGGGAAUAUUGCACAAUGGGCGGAAGCCUGAUGCAGCAACGCCGCGUGAGGGAUGACGGCCUUCGGGUUGUAAACCUCUUUUAGCAAGGAAGAAGCGAAAGUGACGGUACUUGCAGAAAAAGCGCCGGCUAACUACGUGCCAGCAGCCGCGGUAAUACGUAGGGCGCAAGCGUUAUCCGGAAUUAUUGGGCGUAAAGAGCUCGUAGGCGGUUUGUCGCGUCUGCUGUGAAAUCCCGAGGCUCAACCUCGGGCCUGCAGUGGGUACGGGCAGACUAGAGUGCGGUAGGGGAGAUUGGAAUUCCUGGUGUAGCGGUGGAAUGCGCAGAUAUCAGGAGGAACACCGAUGGCGAAGGCAGAUCUCUGGGCCGUAACUGACGCUGAGGAGCGAAAGGGUGGGGAGCAAACAGGCUUAGAUACCCUGGUAGUCCACCCCGUAAACGUUGGGAACUAGUUGUGGGGACCAUUCCACGGUUUCCGUGACGCAGCUAACGCAUUAA
rnacentral:rRNA from 1 species